CAACUAUGAAGCAGGCAAUGGGACCGAUUUCCGUGUGUCUGUGGAGUUAUGUAUGUGGGUUCGGGUGAGUACCGCAGAUCGGUGUAGGCGUAAGCUGAAAGAAAACACCCUUGA
ncrna:unclassified sequences drum RNA